CCUAGAUUCAAAACAAAGUCUUCAAUUAAUACCAAAUAUAUAUUAUGAAGUUCAUUGUCUGUUAUAUUAUUUUUAAGGUGUUGUCUACAGUAUUGUCGCCGAAUAUCGUCCGAAAAACCGUGUUUAUAUUUAUUCCAAAGACUUCUGGAUGACAAAAUAUUAAUAUUACACUGAAAGUCCUUGCAUUUUAUUAGAUGAACGACAUAAUGCUACUUCUUCUAAAGUAAAAUCCCACUGCUUGUCAUCUUCCAUUAAUCCAAGUGCGACUUGAAAUGUCGGAUACUCGGUAUUGUUCACAGUAUUCAAAAAAAAUUUAAUACAGUACCUUUUAUGUGAUGAUGAACAAAGCUAAGAUGGUAAAAUUCAACAUUGCUUGGAUGAAUUGUAUAAACUAUACCCAAGGUUGUAUCUUUCUUAACUCCUGGCCAACAUGCGACAUUCUGGCCUUGUUUACGUCUAACA